rnacentral:lncRNA from 1 species
CGACGAACUACUUUUGCCGUUUAAUAGAUCAUAAACACCACACAUUUCUACCGUCACAGUGACAACACUUCCCAAUUAUUCUGAUUAUGGCGCAGGGGAUUCGCCGGAAGAUCCAAUCUGUGCUGAUUUUGCAAGAAUCGAUGGGCUUCCUCAAAUUAUCGGGCGCUUUUUACGACACUGCAAUUGAUCGAAACCUUCGCAAAAAAUCGUAAAGUAAAAAUCCUCUUUUUAUUUUUAUUUAAGACCCUUUAGUAGUUUAUCAACAAGUAAAGAUUGCAUUUUUUUUGGUACAUGUAAUUUGUUUCAGAAUUUAUAAACAAGAAUUUCUAUCAAUGUCUUUGAAUUAACUUUGAUAAAUUCAAACUUUCUGAUGGAUGGUUGUCAAUACAAGUUUCAGAAGAAGAUUGAAACCAAAAUGACUAGACAAGACGUUUGGUGUAUGUCGACCAAUGUGUUCUGUUUUGGGUAGCACUUUGCCUUAACUCUGUUUACACACACACGUUUAUGUGUUUUGACUGUUGAAAAAAAAACGAAAGAUAUUUCAAAAGUCUACGCAGUACACAAUUUGUUUGUUUGUGACCAUUUGCAAUGAUUUUGGACCGCAUUUAAUUGCCCCACGACUGUAAUGGGGAUCACAGUUUGGAUUUUGCUUCUUGUUUACCUUAAACUUCCUUUCAUUUUAAUGUUGAAGCAGAAGAACCUUUCUUUU